UGACCUUCCUCAAGUUUUUUCUUUCAAAUUAUAAUGUAUCCCAUAAUAUAAUGUUAGUUUAAACAAUACGGUCACGAAAGGUAUACGAAAUCGAUCCACAUAGAACAUUUAAUCAUUUUUAAUCUUUUGUUGAGAGUUUUUAGUCUUCCAUGUACUAUAAGUGACCUAAAAAUUUGUGAUGUAAUGUAUACAAAAUAUAUGCUGUUAUUAAUUAUUUUUUGAUUGUUUUUAUAUUCCGUUUUGUAAAAAAGUUAAGCGCUUGUGCAUUAUAAACUAGACGUUCUUAGUAUUGACUUUAAAGUUAUUAGUCUUAAACAUGGAAUGUGUUCUAUUGUCGGUUUUUUGAUUUCUAAUAUUGUUAGUGCGUUUGGUGACCUUCCUCAAGUUUUGUCUUUCAAAUAAUAAUGUAUCCCAUAAUAUAAUGUUAGUUUAAACAUUACGGUCACGAAAGGUAAACGAAAUCGAUCCACAUAGAAUAGUUAAUCAUUUUUAAUCACUUGUUGGGAGUUUUUAGUCUUCCUUGUACUAUAAGUGACCUAAACAUUUGUGAUGUAAUGUAUACAAAAUAUAUGCUGUUAUUAAUUAUUUUUUGAUUGUUUUUAUAUUCCGUUUUGUAAAAAAGUUAAGCGCUUGUGCAUUAUAAACUAGACGUUCUUCGUAUUGACUUUAAAGUUAUAAAUCUUAAACAAACUUUUAACGUUAAUAAUAACUCUCGCAAAUGAAUUUCCAUGGAAUGUGUUCUAUUGUCUAUUGUCGGUUUUUUGAUUUCUAAUAUUGUUAGUGCGUUUGGUGACCUUCCUCAAGUUUUGUCUUUCAAAUAAUAAUGUAUCCCAUAAUAUAAUGUUAGUUUAAACAAUACGGUCACGAAAGGAAAACGAUAUCGAUCCUCAUAGAAUAGUUAAUCAUUUUUAAUCACUUGUUGGGAACUUUUAAUCUUCCCUGUAUUAUAAGAGACCUAAAUAUUUGUGAUGUAAUGUAUACAAAGAUAUAUGCUGUUAUUAAUUAUUUUUUGAUUGUUAUUAUAUACCGUUUUGUAAAAAAGUUAAGCGCUUGUGCAUUAUAAACUAGACGUUCUUCGUAUUGACUUUAAAGUUAUAAAUCUUAAACAAACUUUUAACGUUAAUA